CUUGCAAGUAGAACGAAGCAAUCCGAGUUAGUUUACUAACAUGGGUUGACUUAGUUGCGGACGGGUGAGUAACGCGUGAGCAACCUGCCUUUGUGAGGGGGACAACAUUGGGAAACCGAUGCUAAUACCGCAUAAGGCCACGGCUUUGAGUGAAGCAGUGGUAAAAGAUUUAUCGCACAAAGAUGGGCUCGCGUCCCAUUAGCUAGUUGGUAAGGUAAAAGCUUACCAAGGCGACGAUGGGUAGCCGACCUGAGAGGGUGAUCGGCCACACUGGAACUGAGACACGGUCCAGACUCCUACGGGAGGCAGCAGUGGGGAAUAUUGGGCAAUGGGCGCAAGCCUGACCCAGCAACGCCGCGUGAGGGAAGAAUGUCUUCGGAUUGUAAACCUCUGUCCUUGGGGACGAAAAAAAUGACGGUACCCGAGGAGGAAGCUCCGGCUAACUACGUGCCAGCAGCCGCGGUAAUACGUAGGGAGCAAGCGUUGUCCGGAAUUAUUGGGCGUAAAGGGUGCGUAG
rnacentral:rRNA from 1 species